AAAUGACAUUGCAGAUCUGGAUUUGGACAGCCAUCGAGGACAUACGAUAAACCAUUGGUUGCCAUUGACCAUUACACAAUACAUAUCUGUUGUUUGUAUCCCCUUAGUGGCAAUGAGUAUGUUAACAAACUAUCUAGGUCCAUAUCCCACUUGAAAAUUAAUCAACACACUUAUGUGUCUGCAUUUAGUUCCAUCAAAAACAUUAUGUUGCAAGAAAUAUGGAGGAACUCCCAAAAGUUAGCUGCAUAGAAAAUUCAAAAUCUGAACAGCGUCGGCAGAAUGUGGUAUGUGCAGGUGCAGCGACUUCGGCCUAAACUUUGACCUCGAUCCAGUCUGAAUUUCCUAAAUAUCCAAGCAUACAAGUUGUAGAGCCUUCUUCUGGCUUUCUGUAUCAUAUUUAUACUUCGCAUUUGGAGUUGAGACGAAAGAGUUAUGCCUGUCUUACGAAGAGGUAUCUAAACUAUUCCAAAAAUUGCCGAAAUAACUUCAUUUUGAAUUUGACAAUAAUGAGGACACUUACAGACUAUGAAAAUAAAAUACUUCAAUUCAAAGAAACAAAGCUAAUUGAACAAGAAGAUCACACCCCUGAUGUUCCUCUGUCCAACUAAUAUGCUAUUUCACUCAGGACUUUCAUCACAGAACACCACAACACACACACACACACACACACACACACACACACACACACACACACACACACACACGCACCAUCUUAAUCGCAACCGCAAAUAAUUUUAUAAAUUUCAUCGUUGCGUAAGUAUAGAUGAAGGAGAUCACAUUAAAAAAUAGAACGAGAAAAGUUCAAAGCAAUGCAAUCAAAAUAAACAGGCGACAAAAGGAAAACUUUAACCCGACUUUGAUCAAUUCACAAACCAAUGGAUUUCUGGAAAGCUACGAGUUCAAAAAUUAGAUCUUACACAAAAUCAAAGCAAAAAUGUUCACGCAUACGAACAUAAUUAAAUGAGAUAUUUGCAGAAUUCAAAAGGAAGAUUCGAGAAAAAAAUAACUCUAUGAGAUAUAAUUCACAGCAUAAACUCACAAUUACCCAAAGAAGAGGAUGCUCAAUCGUCAGCCGGAAGAACAAAUGAGAGAGGGAGA
rnacentral:lncRNA from 1 species